rnacentral:lncRNA from 1 species
UUUUCAUAAAAUCUUAACUAAUAAUAAAUUAUGAUGUUAUUUUAUGUAUAAAACUUGAAAAUCAUCAAAGCUUUAAAUAGACACUCAUGUAUUCUCCCCCCAAAAUGAAAAAUGUAAAAGAGGGGCCGUAGAAACUCACAUUCGAUGCGUGAUCUUGAUAUAGGCUUGCUUCGUGAAUCUUGUCGGGAAUAACCACAAAGUAACCAUUCUUGGGCUUUAAAACAUUUAUGGGUUUGUUUUGUAAAAUAUCAAACUCAAAGAAUUUCUUUUUGUAAUGAAAUAAACCAAAAGGGACUAUUUUUGAUCUUUUAAAACAGCAUAAGGACCAUUUUGUAAAGACUAAGUCCAAUAGGAUUUGCCUUGAAAGGAUUUAUGACAAAGGGGUUAGUUUUAAUUUGAAGUUAUAAACGAAGGGGCUGAUUUCGCCACAUUCUACAAUUAUACAAAGGGACGUGUCUUCUUUUCUUUUGUGCGUCUGAUUAGAACGAACGGAACCAAGCAGCGACGAGGGUUAGCCACCCAGCUCCGACGCCCUACUGCAAUCCUUCUCUCAUCGUCGGCGACAGCAACCAAGGGGAAGAAGAACGGAUCGAAGGCAGGUCGGAGAAGAGGAACUCGAUUGAAAUCAGGAAACCAAGGGGCACCGGUGGUUUAGAAAACGCGAUGGGGGUGGUUCGGUGGUGGAUUUCAAUCGCAGGGAGGAGGGAAGAAGAAGUCCGUCAAAAACGACGAUUCAUCCCUGGGUCUUCGUGAUUCCGUUGCCAACAGCAACAACUCGGAAAAGAAAUCAGAACAACAAGCAACAACGAUCGGGUUUGGGGUGUUCGGAUGGAAUCGGUGAACAGAACAGCAACAAUCGACAUCCAUGGGCGGGGUUUAAUGGCUCCGAUUGGCAGAAGAAGAAGGAAGAAGACGGUGGGUUUGGAUGGUGCUUCAUCGGCCAGUGGGGGCUGCAAUCGGCAGCUCCCUCAUGUUUUCUUCUUUCUGAACCAAUGGUACAAUCACAGAGGGAAUACAAAAACAUUCAGGGGUGUUUGGAUUGUUUCAACCAACAGGUUAAGGAAGAACACAAAAACUUCUUCUUCUUUGAUUGUUUAGAUAGGAACUAAUGAAAGAUUGGAUAUAUAGGGUUUGUUUUGAUUAAUAGGGAAUGAGUAAGAAAAGAACCAAAAGAAGAGGUUGAUGGCCUCUUGUUGUUUUCUUGGCAGCCACCCACGAUCAAAGAAGAAAAGAAAGAAGAAGAUGAAGAACCUUCUUAUGUGGGUUUGUGGUUUUCAUAGUUUGAAGAGUUUACAAGACUACAAGAGUCUUGCUUUUGAGUGUGUUUUUGUAUAACACAAUUGUGUAUAGUUUUGGGUUAGAUGAAGUGUAUAAGAGAAAUACUUCAUUUAUUGUUGUACUUUUAGAGAGCCUUAGAAGCAAACUACUUUACAUGUAUUUAUGUAUGUAUUAACAUGUAUUUUCUAUAUGUAUAAACAUGUAUUGAGUGAUGUGAUAGAAAAUAUAAAUAUAGAUUCUAUAGUUAUAUUGUUAAAAGUUUAAAUUCAAUUAUGUAUGAUUCAACGUGUCAAAAGUACAAUGUCAUAUUUG